GGCUUCUUGAUCCUAUGUGUUGUAUUGAGUGUUGGUCACUGGUCUUUGGGAAGCUUGGACAGAAGUGGGGCAGCCAUGGAGCUGCUGACUGGGACUGGCCUGUGGCCCGUGGUCAUAGUCACAGUCAUCUUCAUAUUACUGGUGGACAUGUUGCACCGGUGCCAGCGCUGGACUUCUUGCUGCCCACCAGACCCUGUGCCAUGGCCUGUGCUGGGUAACCUGCUGCAGGUGGACCUGGAUAACAUGCCAUAUAACUUGUACAAGGUGUGGUCCUUGCUCCUUAUGGGCCUGAGUGGAAAGAGCAGAGGUGAUUCUCUGCGUCGACCCUGUGCAACUUCAGCCUGGGCAAGAAAUCACUGGAGCAGUGGGUGAUGGAAGAGGUUGGACACCUCUUUGAUGUCUUCACUGCCCAUGCUGAGGAGGCUGUAGACAAGAGAUUUGGAAAGAACACAUCUAGAAGUGUCCACCACAGUAAUAGGAGCCUGGAGAUUGACAUACAGCAAAAGGAAGUGAGAAGCUGACCAAGGUCAGGGCUUCUAGAAGCUGAGACCCUGGCCCUCUGCCCACAUGGAACAUCUGUGAGAUUUUCCAGGGUUGGCUGACAAAGUCUUCCCUGGGCAAAAGACAUUUCUCAUAAUGGUGGAUAAGCUGGUGACUGAGCACAAGAGGACCUGGAACUCGGACCAGCCGCCUCGAGACCUGACUGAUGCCUUUAUGGCUGAGAUGGAGAAGGCAAAGGGAAACCCUGAGAGUAGCUUCAAUGAUGCAAAUCUAUGUCUGGUUGUCCUUGACCUGCUGGGUGCUGCAACUGUGACCACCUCAACCACACUGUCCUGGGCCCUGCUGCUUAUGAUCCUGCAUCCGGAUGUGCAGUGCCAAGUACAACAGGAAAUCGAUGAGGUCAUUUGGUAUGUGUGGCUUCCAGAGAUGGCAGACCAGGUCUGCAUGCCCUUCACCAAUGCUGUCAUUCAUGAGGGCAUGACUCUCAUCUCCAACCUGUUCCGUGCUGAAGGAUGAGACUGUCUGGGAGAAGCCCCUUCGCUUCCAUCCUGAACACUUCCUGGAUGCCCAGGGCCACUUUGUGAAGCCUGAGGCCUUCAUGCCAUUCUCAGCAGGUGCCUCUAGGGUGCCUUCCUGCCUAUCUUUCCCUAGGGUGCCUUGGAGGGUGGAGCACCAAUCAGGUCCCAGACUGAGCCCUCUUCUACACAUAGGCCACAGAUCAUGCCUGGGGGAGCCCCUGGCCCUCAUGGAGCUCUUCCUCUUCUUCACCUGCCUCCUGCAGCGCUUUAGCUUCUCAAUGCCAGCUGGACAAUCCCUUCCCAGUGAUUAUGGCAUCUAUACAAUGCCAGUUACUCCAGCACCUACCAGCUCUGUGCAGUGGUUUGCUAGCAGGGGCAGUGGCUCCAGCCAUCAUCACAGAUUGUUCUGACUGAUGUCCAAUAAACAAGUUUUGUGUCUGAAUCUCA
rnacentral:lncRNA from 1 species